GUGGGGAAUCUUGCGCAAUGGGCGAAAGCCUGACGCAGCCAUGUCGCGUGAAUGAUGAAGGUCUUAGGAUUGUAAAAUUCUUUCACCGGGGACGAUAAUGACGGUACCCGGAGAAGAAGCUCCGGCUAACUUCGUGCCAGCAGCCGCGGUAAUACGAAGGGGGCUAGCGUUGCUCGGAAUUACUGGGCGUAAAGGGCGCGUAGGCGGACAGCUUAGUCAGAGGUGAAAGCCCAGGGCUCAACCUUGGAAUUGCCUUUGAUACUGGCUGUCUUGAGUUUGGGAGAGGUGAGUGGAACUCCGAGUGUAGAGGUGAAAUUCGUAGAUAUUCGGAAGAACACCAGUGGCGAAGGCGACUCACUGGCCCAAUACUGACGCUGAGGCGCGAAAGCGUGGGGAGCAAACAGGAUUAGAAACCCCGGUAGUCC
rnacentral:rRNA from 1 species